AGUGAACGCUGGCGGUAGGCCUAACACAUGCAAGUCGAACGGCAGCACAGAGGAGCUUGCUCCUUGGGUGGCGAGUGGCGGACGGGUGAGGAAUACAUCGGAAUCUACUCUGUCGGGGGGGAUAACGUAGGGAAACUUACGCUAAUACCGCAUACGACCUACGGGUGAAAGCAGGGGACCUUCGGGCCUUGCGCGAUUGAAUGAGCCGAUGUCGGAUUAGCUAGUUGGCGGGGUAAAGGACCACCAAGGCGACGAUCCGUAGCUGGUCUGAGAGGAUGAUCAGCCACACGGGAACUGAGACACGGUACAGACUCCUACGGGAGGCAGCAGUGGGGAAUAUUGGACAAUGGGCGCAAGCCUGAUCCAGCCAUACCGCGUGGGUGAAGAAGGCCUUCGGGUUGUAAAGCCCUUUUGUUGGGAAAGAAAUCCAGCUGGCUAAUACCCGGUUGGGAUGACGGUACCCAAAGAAUAGGCACCGGCUAACUUCGUGCCAGCAGCCGCGGUAA
rnacentral:rRNA from 1 species